rnacentral:misc_RNA from 1 species
GAUGAAGAACGCAGCGAAAUGCGAAAAGUAAUGUGAAUUGCAGAAUUCAGUGAAUCAUCGAAUCUUUGAACGCACAUUGCGCCCGCCAGUAUUCUGGCGGGCAUGCCUGUCUGAGCGUCAUUUCAACCCUCACGCCCCUAGGGCGUGGUGUUGGGGAUCGGCCAAGGCCCGCAAGGGACGGCCGGCCCCUAAAUCUAGUGGUGGACCCAUCGUGGCCUCCCCUGCGAAGUAGUAAUAUAUUCCGCAUCGGAUAGCGAUGAGCCCCUGCCGUUAAACCCCCAACUCUUUCAAGGUUGACCUCAGAUCAGGUAGGAAUACCCGCUGAACUUAAGCAUAUCAAUAAGCGGAGGA